UACGUAGGGUGCAAGCGUUAAUCGGAAUUACUGGGCGUAAAGGGUGCGCAGGCGGUUAUAUAAGACAGAUGUGAAAUCCCCGGGCUCAACCUGGGAACUGCGUUUGUGACUGUAUGACUAGAGUACGGUAGAGAGGGGUGGAAUUCCUGGUGUAGCAGUGAAAAUGCGUAGAUAUCAGGAGGAACAUCGAUGGCGAAGGCAGCCCCUUGGACCUGUACUGACGCUCAUGCACGAAAGCGUGGGGAGCAAACAGG
rnacentral:rRNA from 1 species